AGUGCAAGCCGACUUGUCGCUGUUUUCUUUUGGUACCACCGAAAGAAGAGGGAGGAAAGUCCGGGCAACGUAGAGCGCCAUACUUCCUAACGGGAAGGAGCUUUGCUGGUGACGGCAAGGUUACAGACAGUGCCACAGAAAAUAUACCGCCCGGGUCUGGUGAAAACCUAAACCGGGUAAGGGUGAAAAGGUGGGGUAAGAGCCCACCGCCCCGACAGUGAUGAAGGGGGCAAGGCAAACCUUAUGGGUUGAAAGAUCAAAUAGGCUCCGGUCCAAGGGCUGCUCGUCCAAUCCCAUGUCGAUAUUUUUAUCGAUACGGGAAACCGGAGUGGGUAGAUCGAUUGAGCCAGAGCGCGAGUUCUGGCCUAGAUAAAUGGCAAGUGUCCCGUUUUGCGGGAAACAGAACCCGGCUUACAGGCUUGCACUUUUA
rnacentral:RNase_P_RNA from 4 species